CUUUACUGCAGCUUUGCAUUGGACUUUGACGGGACUUGUGUAGGAUAGGUGGGAGGCAUUGAGACGUGGUCGCUAGAUCGCGUGGAGCCAACCUUGAAAUACCACCCUGGUGUCGUUGAGGUUCUAACCUUGGUCCGUGAAUCCGGAUCGGGGACCGUGCAUGGCAGGCAGUUUGACUGGGGCGGUCUCCUCCCAAAGAGUAACGGAGGAGUACGAAGGUCUUCUAAGCACGGUCGGACAUCGUGCUCAUAGUGCAAUGGCAAAAGAAGGCUUGACUGCGAGACCCACAAGUCGAGCAGGUGCGAAAGCAGGUCAUAGUGAUCCGGUGGUUCUGUAUGGAAGGGCCAUCGCUCAACGGAUAAAAGGUA
rnacentral:rRNA from 1 species